UUAAACAAAUCUCAUCUCAAAUUAAUAUUAUUAAAACCACAAAUCAUCUUAAUAGUUACACUUUACAAAAAUUACUUCGGUCUACCAGAAAAACUAGACGAGACCCGAAGCUCAGAAAAUUUACAACUGAUACAUCUGCUAAUUACUACUGCGGAGAAUCUAAGAUUUACCAAUUUACAUACCAAAUCAGAUACGUCACCCGAUGAUGAAGGAGUCGGGUUACUGAAUAAGAGUCGCGAGAGAACUAACAGUCACGAAUCUGAAAAACAAUAAAUGGAGACUGUCAGUCUCGAGAGUGAGUUAAAAUCAAA
rnacentral:lncRNA from 1 species